GAGCUGGGCGGUGAGCACAGAGCGAACUAUUCUUUCGCCUUUUACUAAAGAAUACCGUGUGCACGUUUAAGAAACUCCCACAACUCAGUUCAAAUUUUUGUUUUUAAAUAAUUAUUUAAC